rnacentral:rRNA from 1 species
AGCGAACGCUGGCGGCAUGCCUAACACAUGCAAGUCGAGCGCUCCCAGCAAUGGGGGAGCGGCGGACGGGUGAGUAACGCGUAGGAACGUAUCCUGAGGUGGGGGAUAACCCUGGGAAACUAGGGCUAAUACCGCAUGAUGGCGAGAGCCCAAAGAUUUAUCGCCUUGGGAGCGGCCUGCGUCUGAUUAGCUUGUUGGUGGGGUAACGGCCUACCAAGGCGAUGAUCAGUAGCUGGUCUGAGAGGAUGAUCAGCCACACUGGGACUGAGACACGGCCCAGACUCCUACGGGAGGCAGCAGCAAGGAAUUUUCGGCAAUGGGCGCAAGCCUGACCGAGCAACGCCGCGUGGAGGACGACGGCCUUCGGUUGUAAACUCCUUUGUCGGGGACGGAUUGUGACUGUACCCCGCGAACUCAGGCUCGGCUAACUCUGUG